UAUGAUCUUGCAUCGGCUCUAUCUCCCACCGCCAACAUGAUACUCAAUAUGGCGAUGUCGAAGAUACGACGAGUUCAUAAUUAAUGACUGACAUAGAUCCAGUACCAGAGUGCCUCCUAUAGGUACCAAAGGAUCUCCGACCACUGAACGAAGAUCUCCUAAGGUCGAAUUUGGCAGAUCGAGAUUUCAUAGAAUAUUUUUUCAU
rnacentral:lncRNA from 1 species